CAAAAAGGCCAAACUGAGGGUGCAUCAGGCAAAAUAAAAAACCUGCUAAAAUAUUUACUAUGUCAGGCGGAGCAGUCUGACAAGAGAAACGCUGUACAAAGAGCUCGCCAUCGAAGAUGAGCGACACAAUGAUGACGCCCUUUUCUGCCAGGACAAAGAACUUCACAUCCACAGCGCCACACUCAGCACUACGCAAAAUUUCCCCAUUGAGUGUAUGGUUGGCCAAGAAGGUGACCUCUCCAUCGCUGAGGAACAUCAACUGGUCGCCCUUUGGUGUCCAGAUGUGCCGCACGCGUGGACCCAGGAUGUUGUCCCAGUAAGCAAAGGUGGCAGCCAGCAGCGGGCAUUCUCCCUCUACCGCUACCUCAGACUUUGCCACAGCAGGUGACUGGGGUGGACAGCCAGAAGACAUUGGAGAGACUUGGAAAGGUCACUGUCUUCCCAAGUGUAUGAGCGAUAAUAAACCUACAUCAUAAACACAUAAGACAGCAAGUAGUGUUAAUAGGACAGUGCUGGUGCACCAUUGUAAAAAUUGUUUCAUGUCAAUCUUGUAGCAGAAUCAACUUAAAUUCCAAAUGUCUCUGAAGCAACCCAUCUGAUGUGCCAUAGCCUUAAUACAGCCACUUUCAGCUCACAUAGUGCAUGAAAUCAAAACAUCUAAGGCUUUAAGAGGAAAUGAAAGUGAUUUGCUUUGGGAUGUUGUUCAAGUCAGCUGAUAGGCUGCUUGGUAGAGUCACUCAAAAUCAACUUCUCUUUCUCACAGUGUGGUGUGAUCUGAAAGGAGGAAGGUUUCACAAACUCCUUUCAAAAGUUGCAACAAUUUCAAGCUUUUUUUUUUUGGCAAAACAUAAAUCUGUUCAAAACUGCUUACCCAAAAGCCCACCACAGAAUUGCUGUGUAAUUUUGCAUUCAUACUUUACUUCAGUAAAACGUCGCUUUUAUUAUUUUUACCUUUCACGCCGCUCAUCACAACUCAACGUUAGUAUUUUCCUGGAAACUGGUGAGGCUUAUCAGACAUGAAGUAUUAUGUAUAACUGUAAAGAAAGGGGGGGGAAAAAGCAAUUCACCUGCCACUUGAUUGACUACAAGUAUGCCGAAUUUACCAGCAAUUCCAGUUAAUUUAAGGUUUGUAGCUGGUGUGUUGCCAUGUAGCUGUUUAUAUCCGCAGCAAGCAAUGCGUCUUUACACCGAGAGCUUUUACAACUGAAUUUGGCGUUACAUGUUUCACGUUACACAAGUAAGAACAGAGCGCAAACAGGCUGACGUUACAACUAGGGUUUAUAGCUUAAUGGCAGUAUCGGUAGGGAGUACGGAAAGAAAUAACGUUAGUGUUUAUACUCAGUCAAUAUUUUGUUGUGCUUUUGAAACCAGUCUAACUCGCUAACUAGCACUAACGUUACCAUUGAAAAAGCAUUACUUGGGAAUGACAGCGCUGUGACUUACCUGUUCGGUCUUUCUGGUGCUAAAUCGCACAGAAAAGAUUUCAAAUGUUGUUGAAACUUAACCGCUGGAUUUGUUUUCUGUUAUUGCCAUAGCAUGUGACGCUUUAAUGGUGAUUAGCCAGCUGCAGUUUUGUUGUCUUCAAGGCACUUCCUAGUACGUCAGCCCUACGUCAACCAUUGAUGGCGACGUUCACAGCGUCCUCUAGCGAACGAGGCACGGCCUCGUUCGCUAGAGUGAGUCAAUGAUGUCAUUUUUUCCCCUGGCGGCCACGUGCAGAAUGUUAGUUAUUUAAAUUAAUUUAUGGAGUUCCAUCAUACAAAUGGAUGCGUUUGCAGUCAUAACAGCCUUUUAAUUUAAUCUUCUGAGGCUACUGUGAGUCCAAAUGGCAAACCCACUUCAGUCCUGAAGACAUAAUAGGCUACUGCUUUUGUCUCUUUCCCCUUAUCAUAGCUCUGUAAAUUGCAUUCAUGACAUCUCCUAAAAUUUUCUGGCUGCAGACCAUCAGGGGAACCUUAACUGUAUGUGUCCACAAUUCUCCUUGAGGAUAUCUGAUAUUUACACCUUUACAAGAAAGAUUAACACCCUUAGUCCUCCUCUGCUGUAAGAAUGGGCUCGUCGAGGAAUUCCCCCUUUUCACACAUCUAUAGAAGAAAGCAUGUCAAGAGAAGCAGUUAUCCAGUGACCCCCUCUCCCAUCACAGGCAUUUGGUUGAAUUACCCUAGGAUCACAAAUACCUUCACAACUAUUCCAAGCACUGUAUAUUCACUUACACACACACUUGAGCUUACACCGAAUUCACAAUAUCAUUCCCAAUGGUCUCAGUAAGACACUAAUGGGAUGGCUGACGACGUUGGCUCUAAAUGGCUCAUCAGCAGUUUAGAGACUGAAUUGCUCCUGCAAACAGUCAACCCUAAGUACAUACACAAUUACACAGGGAGUUGAAAAGGGUAUACUCAGCUGCGCCGCCAUCAGAGACAUGUGCAGUGCUGUCCCGUCAUUUUUGGGGAAUAUUCUUAUUCGCUUUCUUGCCUGGCAACCACUUGACGACGCAGCCGAGAUUCUGUUACCUUUGUACAGAGCCGGGGUAGCUGCCCCCCAUACCUCCACCCGUAAGACUACUGACUGCUGAUUGUUGCUUUAUAACGAACAAACAUGAGAGUCUCAUCCAACACUUGGCAAGAAAGAGAAUUAGCGUAUUCCCCAAAACAUCAAACUAUUUCUUCGCAGAACUUUUGUUACCAUUUAAUUGAUCCUGGGGGAGUCUAAACACAUGGCUAUGUAGCGACUGUCCUUCAGCUGAACUAAUUGCAUCCAGACAGGAGUUGAUAGUAGUGCUAGUGUCUCUAAAUAUAUGACGUAUAAGAACUUGUAAUAAAAAAUACUGAAUAUUCUUUGA